ensembl:lncRNA
AGGAGAUCCUGCAAAGCAUUUGACUUUAUAACUUGCUCCAUCAGCAGUUCUACAGUGCCUGUCUGUGAUGGAUGAUGUGAAGGAAGGAUCCUCACUAAACUGUGGAAUGUCCAUUUCCUCCUAUCUGCCACUAGACAGAGAUGCUUUGUGCUUGAGAGGAACAAAUACCUACAGUCCAGACAAGAAGUCUGAAUAAACUGGUACAGUGAGUGUAAAGUCCACCAGAUCCACAAUGAAUCCACUCAUCCUAUGUCAGGCCUCUGAAUCUGUGAGGACUGGAAAUUUAAGCACGAUCUCAUUGGCAAUGUUGCUGUAUGACUCUCCUGCCCCAGACAGUGGUUUGCAAGCAACUUCAAAAAAGGUGCAUGAUCCAUCAUUGAGCUGUCAUUUCCAAUUCUGUUAAUCUACCACCACUCACAUCCAGUGCUCACACCUACCAAAAGAUUCCGCAGAAUUCUACUCUGAAACCAGAACAAUGGCAAAUAAAAAUACGGAC